CCUACGGGAGGCAGCAGUGGGGAAUAUUGGACAAUGGGGGGAACCCUGAUCCAGCCAUGCCGCGUGUGUGAAGAAGGCCCUCGGGUUGUAAAGCACUUUCAGUGAGGAAGAACGCCUGGUGGUUAAUACCCAUCAGGAAAGACAUCACUCACAGAAGAAGCACCGGCUAACUCCGUGCCAGCAGCCGCGGUAAUACGGAGGGUGCGAGCGUUAAUCGGAAUUACUGGGCGUAAAGCGCGCGUAGGUGGCUUGAUAAGCCGGUUGUGAAAGCCCCGGGCUCAACCUGGGAACGGCAUCCGGAACUGUCAAGCUAGAGUGCAGGAGAGGAAGGUAGAAUUCCCCGUGUAGCGGUGAAAUGCGUAGAGUUCGGGAGGAAUACCAGUGGCGAAGGCGGCCUUCUGGACUGACACUGACACUGAGGUGCGAAAGCGUGGGUAGCAAACAGGAUUAGAUACCCCAGUAGUC
rnacentral:rRNA from 1 species